AAUUUUAUAAAACAUACAUCAAUAAGAACGGAACAUCUAGAUAAUAAAUGUAUG
rnacentral:guide_RNA from 1 species